UGGGGAAUAUUGCACAAUGGGCGCAAGCCUGAUGCAGCCAUGCCGCGUGUGUGAAGAAGGCCUUCGGGUUGUAAAGCACUUUCAGCGGGGAGGAAGGCGAUAAGGUUAAUAACCUUGUCGAUUGACGUUACCCGCAGAAGAAGCACCGGCUAACUCCGUGCCAGCAGCCGCGGUAAUACGGAGGGUGCAAGCGUUAAUCGGAAUUACUGGGCGUAAAGCGCACGCAGGCGGUCUGUCAAGUCGGAUGUGAAAUCCCCGGGCUCAACCUGGGAAGUGCAUUCGAAACUGGCAGGCUAGAGUCUUGUAGAGGGGGGUAGAAUUCCAGGUGUAGCGGUGAAAUGCGUAGAGAUCUGGAGGAAUACCGGUGGCGAAGGCGGCCCCCUGGACAAAGACUGACGCUCAGGUGCGAAAGCGUGGGGAGCAAACAGG
rnacentral:rRNA from 1 species